GUGGGGAAUAUUGGACAAUGGGGGGAACCCUGAUCCAGCCAUGCCGCGUGUGUGAAGAAGGCCUUUUGGUUGUAAAGCACUUUAAGCGAGGAGGAGGCUACCGAGAUUAAUACUCUUGGAUAGUGGACGUUACUCGCAGAAUAAGCACCGGCUAACUCUGUGCCAGCAGCCGCGGUAAUACAGAGGGUGCGAGCGUUAAUCGGAUUUACUGGGCGUAAAUCGUGCGUAGGCGGCUUUUUAAGUCGGAUGUGAAAUCCCCGAGCUUAACUUGGGAAUUGCAUUCGAUACUGGGAAGCUAGAGUAUGGGAGAGGAUGGUAGAAUUCCAGGUGUAGCGGUGAAAUGCGUAGAGAUCUGGAGGAAUACCGAUGGCGAAGGCAGCCAUCUGGCCUAAUACUGACGCUGAGGUACGAAAGCAUGGGGAGCAAACAGGAUUAGAAACCCGUGUAGUCC
rnacentral:rRNA from 1 species